AUUGAACGCUGGCGGCAGGCUUAACACAUGCAAGUCGAGCGGAGUGAUGGUGCUUGCACUAUCACUUAGCGGCGGACGGGUGAGUAAUGCUUAGGAAUCUGCCUAUUAGUGGGGGACAACAUCUCGAAAGGGAUGCUAAUACCGCAUACGUCCUACGGGAGAAAGCAGGGGAUCACUUGUGACCUUGCGCUAAUAGAUGAGCCUAAGUCGGAUUAGCUAGUUGGUGGGGUAAAGGCCUACCAAGGCGACGAUCUGUAGCGGGUCUGAGAGGAUGAUCCGCCACACUGGGACUGGGACACGGCCCAGACUCCGACGGGAGGCAGCAGUGGGGAAUAUUGGACAAUGGGGGGAACCCUGAUCCAGCCAUGCCGCGUGUGUGAAGAAGGCCUUAUGGUUGUAAAGCACUUUAAGCGAGGAGGAGGCUCUUUUGGUUAAUACCCAAGAUGAGUGGACGUUACUCGCAGAAUAAGCACCGGCUAACUCUGUGCCAGCCGCCGCGGUAA
rnacentral:rRNA from 1 species